GAUGAAGAACGUAGCGAAAUGCGAUACGUAAUGUGAAUUGCAGAAUUCAGUGAAUCAUCGAAUCUUUGAACGCAUAUUGCGCUCUCUGGUAUUCCGGAGAGCAUGCUUGUUUGAGUAUCAGUAAACACCUCAACUCCCUUUUCUUUUUUGAAAUUGGAGCUGGACUUGAGUGAUCCCAACGCUUUCUUCCAAGAAAGUGGCGGGUUGCUUGAAAUGCAGGUGCAGCUGAACUUUUCUCUGAGCUAUAAGCAUAUCUAUUUAGUCUGCCUAAAAAACAGAUUAUUACCUUUGCUGCAGCUAACAUAAAGGAGACUAGUUCUUGUGCUGACUGAUGCAGGAUUCACAGAGACAGCUUCGGCUGACUUUGUAAACUCGAUCUCAAAUCAAGUAAGACUACCCGCUGAACUUAAGCAUAUCAAUAAGCGGAUGA
rnacentral:misc_RNA from 1 species